CACACAUUUAAUUACAUUGUUUUUUGUUUUCUCUUUUUGGAGUCAAUCUUACCCGAAGGAGCGUGUUGCAUGAUUCCACUUCAUUCGAAAAACCUUUGCAGGUGGAGAAACUGGGGCUUUAAAUCCAACUAUUGAUCGUCGUACCCAAGCUAUUAACUUCAUCCUUUCAGCCAUGGUAUUUAAUGUUGUUUCAACAGUAGUUGAGUAGGAGGUAUUGUCACAUACAAAUUUGGAUCACUCCUUACGUUGAUUACAUCUUUGUUUGUUGCCGCAUACGUUGCCUUCACUUUGACUAUAACACAAGAGGAUAAUGAUGCAAGCACAAAUUUACUAUCUUCGCCUCAAAAUGAAGUUGUCAAGCUAUGUGCAAAGGUAUUGACUGUUAUUAUCAGUAUACCGAAUAUUCUCUUUUGUUUUUCAUUAUAUUGGUUUCAUGAUGCAAAGGAUUUGCUGUUGUAUAUGUUAAUAAGAAGCUUAUUAACGGAUAAGAGAUUACAAAUGCUAAUCUCUUUCAAAAAGAUUAGGAAGAUUUGAUUCACAAUUACUUCAUGGGUUUUUAUUAAUGUAUAUGAAUUGAAUUUUUGUAUUUUGUUGUUUGAAAAGUGAGCUUCCAGUAGAAACUGCUGUUGCAUUAGGUAACUCAACAAUGUCCAUAUUUAUUUUCACCGGGUGUUAGUUCAACUUC